rnacentral:rRNA from 1 species
GACGAACGCUGGCGGCGUGCUUAACACAUGCAAGUCGAACGGGUCUGCCCUGUUUUUUUCGGGGUGUGUCAGUGGCGAACUGGUGAGUAACACGUGAGUAACCUGCCCCUCACUUCUGGAUAACCGCUUGAAAGGGUGGCUAAUACGGGGUGUUCUGGCUGUGCCGCAUGGUGUGGCUGGGAAAGAUUCACUUUUGUGUUGUUUUGGUGGGGGAUGGGCUCGCGGCCUAUCAGCUUGUUGGUGGGGUGAUGGCCUGCCAAGGCUUUGACGGGUAGCCGGCCUGAGGGGGUGGGCGGCCGCACUGGGACUGAGGUGCGGCGCAGACGCCUGCGGGGGGCAGCAGUAGGGGGUAAUGCACCAUGGGCGGAAGCAUGAUGCAGCGGCGUCGCGUGGGGGAUGAAGGCCUUCGGGUUGUGAACCUCUUUCGCCGGUGACGAAGGUCCUGCUUUUUGUGGUGGGGUUGACGGUAGGCGGGUUAUGAAGCGCCGGCUAACUACGUG